rnacentral:rRNA from 1 species
ACGGGAGGCAGCAGUGGGGAAUAUUGGGCAAUGGAGGCAACUCUGACCCAGCAACGCCGCGUGAGUGAAGAAGGUUUUCGGAUUGUAAAACUCUUUAAGUGGGGACGAAGAAAGUGACUGUACCCACAGAAUAAGCAUCGGCUAACUACGUGCCAGCAGCCGCGGUAAUACGUAGGAUGCAAGCGUUAUCCGGAAUGACUGGGCGUAAAGGGUGCGUAGGUGGUUUGCCAAGUUGGUAGCGUAAUUCCAGGGCUUAACUUUGGAGCUACUACCAAAACUGGUAGACUUGAGUGUGGCAGGGGUAUGUGGAAUUCCUAGUGUAGCGGUGGAAUGCGUAGAUAUUAGGAGGAACACCAGUGGCGAAGGCGGCUUACUGGACUGUAACUGACGUUGAGGCUCGAAGGCGUGGGGAGCAAACAGGAUUAGAUACCCUGGUA